UAAUUGGUCUGCCUGCAGCCUGGGUUUAUAAAGGGUCCCUGGUGAUUUCAGUUGGCAGUGAUGACUUUCUCUUUAACAUCACUGACAGAGGGAUGCUUUGGCUGCAGGGGGGUCUGCUCUCUCCUCAGUUGCACAGAAGAGAAAUAGGUUGUUAACUGUUGAAUUCUGUCGUGCAUUAGUCUUCUCAGGUUGCUCUUAUAGACACCAUGGAGUUGGUGAUGGAACAGACGUUUGUUUUCCAACACCUCCGGAGACCAGAAGUCAAAGGUCAAGGUGCCAAGGUUGAUAUCUGGUGUCAUAGGUGGGUAGGACUGCUGGUCACCUCCCUCCUUUGGAAGCUGGCACGGUGCCUACCAGUACCAUAAAGGCUAAGUCCUCAAGGAGGAGGCAUUCAAGUCAGUGUGAGCUCAGAACACACUCACUUCCCAGUCCUCCCAGUCCCCUCCUUGUGACCUCAUUCCUAAAGAAGGAGGAGGAGGAGAAAGAGGAGGAGGAGGAAGAGGAAGAAGAAGAAGACGACAAUGAAGACAAAGAAGACAAGUCAAAAGUCAAAAUGUGUUGAUCAUUGGAGCCUGAUCAGACCCCCAACGGCCAUCCCCUUAAAGAAAACUGUGUGCAACUGUACCAUGUGCAUGCCCGGUGACCACAUAAGCCAGAAGAAGACAUCAGAUGCCCUGGAACUAGAGUUAUGGGUGCCUGUGACUGCCAUGUAAGUGUUGGGAAUCUAAAAAUUCCUUUGCCUUAUAGUCUUAAUUAUUAUAGCCAUUGCCCGCUGCAUUUUCAAAAUCCUUUUGAUUUGGACAAAAGCAACUUGAAGAGCACCUACUGUGUGUCAGAUACUGUGCUUGGAACCUAUCUCAUCCUCCAAGCCCUGCUAAGAUAGGUAUGGCUUCA